UAAGGGCCUAUAACUAGACUGUUAUCAGUGUCGAAUAUAACUUUUUGGGUGAAUACCUACAAAGAUUGCAAUUAUAAGCACUGUUUUAAAUAAAACGCAUAUGUUUCUCAACAGAAUGAAAACAAAAUAGCUUUUAAAGUGCAAAAUGUUCGCAUUAUUUGGAUAUAUUCUGAUUUGCUCUCAUUUACAGGCGGUACAAGGCCUACAGGAAUGCAACGCAGGCAACCAUACUUUUGUCAACUGUACAUACAGUUGUUGUCCUGUCAACAACAGCACAUAUGAGGAAUGCUGUCAGAAGCAAGGCCCAAACGAAUGCUAUGUAGGCAACCAGACAUUUGUUAACUGUUCACAUGGCUGCUGUCAAGUCACCAACAGCACAUUCGAACAAUGCUGCCAACUACAAGAUUCGCAGGAAAGCUUUACAUACACAUGGCAUGUUUUGUGGACCCUUGUUCCGCUCGCCGGGAUGAUCGGUGGACUUCUAUAUUUCUGUUUUUGUAAGAUUCCUUAAGAUGGUGAAAGGAAAUGGGCUUCCUCUAGUAAGGUCAGCGAUAGCCGCCAUAUUGGAUUUCCCUUCUGACCUAAUGUAAACAUGUGGUUGAAACUUUGUGGAAAAAAUGGGUAUUCAUCAAAGUAUCUUUCAAUAAACACAAGAGUGUUUACUUAAGGAUGUUCGAUCGUUUCGUGAUUUUUUUUUAAAAUAUCCAGAAUGCUAUAAUUUUUUGUAGGGUGAUUAAUGGAUAUGUAUCUGAAAUAAAUAUCAAAUAAAAAAGGGGGGUCACCGUGAAUAAUUUUGAGAUAUUGACGGUUUUUAAAUGCAAUGUGCGUUUGAGAAAAGGUCAUUUUUGCGGGGCAUAAAAUAGGGGGUACGGUAAAACGUUUGUGUGUAAAACAUUUAAAAUGGAGUAGUAAUAUUGAGAUUGUAUUAGAUCAGCAACUGUAACCUUUGUAUUAUCAUACUGAACACAUUUAAAACCAAAAAUAUUGGAAAUCGUAAAAAGUAAUGAGACAUAAG